UGAAGACUCAGAGGGGGCUUACCACACAGCUGGCUUUUCUGUCCUGCCAAACCCCAUAAACCUGUCAUUAUGAAGCGGAGAGAUCAGAAGAUCAUGUGAAUCUCCUCCAACCCUUGCAUUGCCCUCCAAAAGAGGAGGAACCCUGACUCAGUGGAAGGGAUAUGCUUUGCACCUAGAAAGUCAGCUGUUCAGUCUUGAUGUCUCUCAUUAGGAAGGAUAUAAGGCACCCUGUGAAGUGGGUGGAACUGAGAGAGCUCUGAGAGAGCCGUGACUGCCCCAAGGUCACCCAGCUGGCUUCAAGUGGAGAAGUGGGGAAUCAAACCCGGCUGUCCAGAUUAGAGUCCUGCUGUUCUUAACCACUACACCAAACUGGCUCUCAGACGAUGCACAUCUUUUGGAUGCUAUGGGACCUAAAACAUCUUACAACAUGGUUCUCUCCUCCAUUUGAUCCUCACAACCACCACCCUGCGAGGUAAGUUAGGCUGAGAGUGAGACAGUGACUGGCUUAUGGUCACCAAGCUUCCCUGGAAGAAAGGAGAGCUGAACGUGGGUCCUCCAGAUCUGAAUCCAACCUUUGACACUACGGCAUGCUGCUCUCGAAAUUUCUGU